rnacentral:pre_miRNA from 1 species
UUUCUACUCCCUCCGUCCGAAAAUACUUGUCAUCAAAAUGGAUAAAAAUAGAUGUAUCUAAAACUAAAAUACGUCUAGAUACAUUUCCUUUUAUCCAUUUUGAUGACAAGUAUGUCCGGACGGAGGGAGUAUUUG